GUACUUAUCUGGCAAGAGGAACAGUAUGAUCAUAAAGAUAGUUUUCCCAGGGCAAGCCUCAUCCAUUGCAUUCCAAGAGACAUGCUGACCUCUGUGAUUUCCCCAAAUAUGGGAAACUUCACUACAUAAUUUGUGGUAGUGGGAGACUAUGUUUGUGUUCUCCUU